GACGAAGACGUUCGUCACCGUAGAAGUCCUACUGGUUUUAUAACUACGGGCUA
rnacentral:sRNA from 1 species